AUUGAACGCUGGCGGCAGGCUUAACACAUGCAAGUCGAGCGGGGGAAGGUAGCUUGCUACUGGACCUAGCGGCGGACGGGUGAGUAAUGCUUAGGAAUCUGCCUAUUAGUGGGGGACAACAUCUCGAAAGGGAUGCUAAUACCGCAUACGUCCUACGGGAGAAAGCAGGGGAUCUUCGGACCUUGCGCUAAUAGAUGAGCCUAAGUCGGAUUAGCUAGUUGGUGGGGUAAAGGCCUACCAAGGCGACGAUCUGUAGCGGGUCUGAGAGGAUGAUCCGCCAAACUGGGACGUAGACACGGCCCAGACUCCUACGGGAGGCAGCAGUGGGGAAUAUUGGACAAUGGGGGGAACCCUGGUCCAGCCAUGCCGCGUGUGUGAAGAAGGCCUUAUGGUUGUAAAGCACUUUAAGCGAGGAGGAGGCUACUCUAGUUAAUACCUAGGGAUAGUGGACGUUACUCGCAGAAUAAGCACCGGCUAACUCUGUGCCAGCCGCCGCCGUAA
rnacentral:rRNA from 1 species